rnacentral:rRNA from 1 species
GAUGAACGCUGGCGGCGUGCCUAAUACAUGCAAGUCGAGCGAAUGGAUUAAGAGCUUGCUCUUAUGAAGUUAGCGGCGGACGGGUGAGUAACACGUGGGUAACCUGCCCAUAAGACUGGGAUAACUCCGGGAAACUGGGGCUAAUACCGGAUAACAUUUUGAACUGCAUGGUUCGAAAUUGAAAGGUGGCCUCGGCUGUCACUUAUGGAUGGACCCGGGUCGCAUUAGCUAGUUGGUGGGGUAACGGCUCACCAAGGCAACGAUGCGUAGCCGGCCUGAGAGGGUGAUCGGCCACACUGGGACUGAGACACGGCCCAGACUCCUACGGGAGGCAGCAGUAGGGAAUCUUCCGCAAUGGACGAAAGUCUGACGGAGCAACGCCGCGUGAGUGAUGAAGGCUUUCGGGUCGUAAAACUCUGUUGUUAGGGAAGAACAAGUGCUAGUUGAAUAAGCUGGCACCUUGACGGUACCUAACCAGAAAGCCACGGCUAACUACGUGCCAGCAGCCGCAGUAA